rnacentral:rRNA from 1 species
AGAGUUUGAUCCUGGCUCAGGAUUAACGCUGGCGGCGUGCCUAACACAUGCAAGUCGAACGAGGUAGCAAUACCUAGUGGCAGACGGGUGAGUAACGCGUGGUCAACCUACCGUUGAGUGGGGGAUAACCAGCCGAAAGGUUGGCUAAUACCGCAUACGUGUCUGAGGGGCAUCCCUCGGCCAUAAAAGGAGCAAUCCGC